rnacentral:rRNA from 1 species
GAUGAACGCUGGCGGCGUGCCCAAUACAUGCAAGUCGAGCGAACAGACGAGGAGCUUGCUCCUCUGACGUUAGCGGCGGACGGGUGAGUAACACGUGGAUAACCUACCUAUAAGACUGGGAUAACUUCGGGAGACCGGAGCUAAUACCGGAUAAUAUAUUGAACCGCAUGGUUCAAUAGUGAAAGACGGUUUUGCUGUCACUUAUAGAUGGAUCCGCGCCGCAUUAGCUAGUUGGUAAGGUAACGGCUUACCAAGGCGACGAUGCGUAGCCGACCUGAGAGGGUGAUCGGCCACACUGGAACUGAGACACGGUCCAGACUCCUACGGGAGGCAGCAGUAGGGAAUCUUCCGCAAUGGGCGAAAGCCUGACGGAGCAACGCCGCGUGAGUGAUGAAGGUCUUCGGAUCGUAAAACUCUGUUAUUAGGGAAGAACAAAUGUGUAAGUAACUAUGCACGUCUUGACGGUACCUAAUCAGAAAGCCACGGCUAACUACGUG